UUAAAGAAGCCUCCCUGCUCCAACAUUAGUCAACAUCUUUUCAGAAGAGAUGACUCCAUUUCAGCCUCCUGUCAUGGAUUUAUAACCCAGGCCCGGAUAAUCGCAAUCAUGGUGAUUCAAGGAUGGAAAGUGCCUAAUACCAGGACAAUCAGCGUUCCAGGACUUUUGCUGAACUAAGGCAUGUGAAAUUCACUAGUGAGAGAAGAGAGAACCACAUGAUAAGUACACCAUUCCCUCAUGGAACUUUCCAGUCUAGGAUCAAGUCUCCAGCUUUAAAUGCAGAAAAAGCCAUCCUCUCCCCUCAUCAAAUUUUGAGGAAUCCUUCCCUGACCGCAGCCUCAGGAAAAACUUGUUCUCUGGCACCUG